CCGUCAUGCUACACUAUACUGGGGUGAUGGGGGGGGGGUCAACAUGUUGGAGGUGCUCCGUCAUGCUACACUAUACUGGGGUGAUGGGGGGGUCAACAUGUUGGAGGUGCUCCGUCAUGCUACACUAUACUGGGGUGAUGGGGGGGUCAACAUGUUGGAGGUGCUCCGUCAUGCUACACUAUACUGGGGUGAUGGGGGGGUCAACAUGUUGGAGGUGCUCCGUCAUGCUACACUAUA